GACGUAGGGCGCGAGCGUUGUCCGGAUUUAUUGGGCGUAAAGAGCUCGUAGGCGGCUUGUCGCGUCGUCCGUGAAAACUUGGGGCUCAACCCCAAGCUUGCGGUCGAUACGGGCAGGCUAGAGUUCGGUAGGGGAGACUGGAAUUCCUGGUGUAGCGGUGAAAUGCGCAGAUAUCAGGAGGAACACCGGUGGCGAAGGCGGGUCUCUGGGCAGUAACUGACGCUGAGGAGCGAAAGCGUGGGGGAGCGAACAGG
rnacentral:rRNA from 1 species